GAGUUUGAUCUUGGCUCAGAUUGAACGCUGGCGGCAUGCCUUACACAUGCAAGUCGAACGGUAACAGGUCUUCGGAUGCUGACGAGUGGCGAACGGGUGAGUAAUACAUCGGAACGUGCCCAGACGUGGGGGAUAACGAGGCGAAAGCUUUGCUAAUACCGCAUACGAUCUAAGGAUGAAGCAGGGGACCGCAAGGCCUUGCGCGUUUGGAGCGGCCGAUGGCAGAUUAGGUAGUUGGUGGGAUAAAAGCUUACCAAGCCGACGAUCUGUAGCUGGUCUGAGAGGACGACCAGCCACACUGGGACUGAGACACGGCCCAGACUCCUACGGGAGGCAGCAGUGGGAAUUUUGGACAGUGGGCGAAAGCCUGAUCCAGCAAUGCCGCGUGCAGGAUGAAGGCCUCGGUUGUAAC
rnacentral:rRNA from 1 species